GUGUCAGCAGCCGCGGUAAGACGAACCGAGCGAACGUUGUUCGGAAUCACUGGGCUUAAAGGGCGCGUAGGCGGGCUGCCGCGUCCGGGGUGAAAUCCUCCGGCUCAACCGGAGAACGGCCCCGGGUACGGGCGGCCUCGAGGGGGGUAGGGGCGUGCGGAACUGUGGGUGGAGCGGUGAAAUGCGUUGAGAUCCACAGGAACUCCGGUGGCGAAGGCGGCACGCUGGACCCUCUCUGACGCUGAGGCGCGAAAGCCAGGGGAGCGAACGGGAUUAGAUACCCCCGUAGUCC
rnacentral:rRNA from 1 species